rnacentral:lncRNA from 1 species
AUUUUUUUUUUAUGUAAAUUUACAUGGUAGAAAAUAUGUAUGCAAUGCAACAAGGGAUUUUUGAAGUUUUGAACUCUUAUUCUCUUCAACACAAUCUCGUUCUGCAACAAAACCUAAAAAAAGAAACACUCUCAAACUCACUAACACUCUUCCAAUCAAUCAAUGUCCAAAUUGUUUCUAUGCGCGCCAAAUCUUGUUUUAGGGUUCAUAACAACAAACCCUAAUUUCGACCCUCUUUCUCAAAAACACUCUUCGUUCCCAAUUUCACUCAGAUUCAAAUGCUGCACCGCAACACCAACAACAACAAUAACAAUAACAGCAUCAGAAUCAAAAUCAAAAUCAAAAUCAGACAGGUACCCAUUCCCUGUAUCAUAUCUCAUCAACAAUUUCGAUUUCUCACCUGAAUCAGCUCUCAAAUAUUUCAACAACGGCCAUCUUGGUUUCAAUACCGUUGAAAAACCUAAUUCAGUUAUCAACUUCUUUCUUAACAAUGGAUUUU